GUGGCUUCAACUGCUCAGCACAGCACAUAUCAAUGACAGUAGCCAGUCCCUGUACAUUCCAAUAAGGUUCCGCUCCCUUCAUCCGGCAAGGCACCAUACCAUGCUGCAGGUAGGAUUAGAAGAAGAUCCUGCACAAAUGGAGGAGACAGUGGAAGUGACGGAGACGAAGGAGAGAGCUGAGAGGUAGGCUAUGAAGGUGAUGGUGGCGAUAGACAAUAGCGAGUGCAGCCGCUACGCCCUCUCUUGGGCCCUCCGCAACCUCCUCUCCUCCGACUCUCACCUCAUCAUCUUCUCAGCUCAGCCUGUCCUUGAAUUCAGUUACUUUUUCAUUACUUCCACUUACGCAGCAGAUUUGGUCAGUGAUCUCCAGGAGAAUCUUAAGAGUGCAACUUUGGCUCUUUUAAAGGAGGCUAAAGACGUCUGCUCCCAACAUGGAUCAUGGAUUGAUGGUGACUUGCAGAUUGUUUCCGAGACAGCAACAGAAGUUGGGCAACCGAAAGAGGUUAUCUGUGAGGCGGUCAAGAAACACGACAUCCAGCUACUUGUCAUGGGUAGCCACGGGCGGGGAGCGAUACAAAGAGCAUUUCUAGGAAGUGUGAGCGAUUACUGCAUCCACAAUGCCAAGUGCCCUGUUCUUGUCAUCAGGAAGCCCACAUGACACGAGAACGAAUCAGCUGCGUACUAGCAUCCAGUCUUUGAUCUGCAAAUAAUGAUGUUGUAUCUACUUCAAUGACGUUGGCUGAAUGUGCCAGUCAAGUGAGUCGCAUCGAUAAUGCCGUUGGCAAAGACAUUUUGUUUUGUACUCCCUAUAAUUUUGAGCAUAUAUAUGAACAUGAUGGCAGUAAUUCCAGAUGGGCCCAGGCCAAUUUCAAGUACUUCAUAAGUUUGAAACUAUGUGUGUCCCCUUCAACAUGUGCCCCUAGCAAAUGCUGCUGUGUCUGUUUCGUUGAGUAAAGCCUAUGCAGAGGUAAGUGGCAGUGAAUCCUUAUUCCUUAUCCAGGUUUCUGUCUCAUGAAAAAGACAUCUGGUAUGACCGGUCGUUUUGACCUGAAAAUAUCCCGCCUCCUGUUUACCAACUACCAAGAAAAAUUCGUCAUCUGUCGUCGUCGUCGUCGUCAUCAUCAUCAUUAUCUCCUUCACGUUCCAAGUUCCAACUUCCACAUUCUUCUCAAAGCCACAGCAGAACAUCCCAUAAACGAAACACGAUCUUGAUUCGAUCUUGAUGGAGGAGGAGAUAUUAUCAGGAGGAGGAGAAGGAGGUGACAAGGACAAGAAAGUGAUGGUGGCUAUCGACGAGAGCGAGUGCAGCCACUAUGCACUCGUGUGGGCUCUCGACAACCUCCGGGAAUCCAUCUCCGGCCCGGAUGCCCAGCUCCUCAUCUUCAUGGCCCAGCCCCCUCCCCAGCACAUCAUCACCUUCGCCGCCUCCCUCGGCUCUGCUCGCUUGUACUGCCCUGUUUCAGCCAGAGAAUCAUAAGAAGCUCACACUGGCCCUGCUGGACAGAGCUAAGGAGAUUUGUGCGGAAAGAGGGGUCAAGGUGGAGACAAUUGCGGAGGUUGGAGAACCUAAAACAGCCAUAUGUGAUGCGGUU